rnacentral:lncRNA from 12 species
ACCCGGGAAGGCUCUGCACCCGCAGGUGCUGUGGCCGUACCGGCCCGGAGCUGUCACCAGUGUGACGCAGACAUUUUUUUAGGUGAUUGAGAAAAUCCACCUUAUCAAAAUAGACGAGCACACGGUGGCUUUUAAACAAAGUAGUGUUUUCUUCAUCUCAGGAGUAUCUCAGGUGCAUCUGAGAAACAGCCCGAGCAAUGGCUCCGAUGGCACCGGGCGGGACACUGGCCCAGCAGCUCAGCAGCCGGGCAGCCUGGCCUCCUACAGUCGCUGAGACUCACCCAGCAGGCCACUGGACCAGAUCACUCCAGCCUGGACCAGAUCACUCCCACCUGGACCAGAUCACUGCCACCUGGACCAGAUCACUCCAGCCUGGACCAGAUCACUCCAGCCUGGACCACAUCACUCUGGCCUGGACCACAUCACUCCCACCUGGACCAGAUCACUCCAGCCUGGACCACAUCACUCCCACGCGGACCAGAUCACUCCCACACAGACCAGAUCACUCCCACCUGGACCACAUCACUCCGGCCUGGACCAGAUCACUCCAGCCUGGACCACAUCACUCCCACGCGGACCAGAUCACUCCCACACAGACCAGAUCACUCCCACCUGGACCACAUCACUCCGGCCUGGACCAGGUCACUCCCACCUGGACCAGAUCACUGCCACCUGGACCAGAUCACUCCGGCCUGGACCAGAUCACUCCCACCUGGACCACAUCACUCCAGCCUGGACCAGAUCACUCCCACCUGGACCACAUCACUCCAGCCUGGACCAGAUCACUCCCACCUGGACCAGAUCACUCCAGCCUGGACCAGAUCACUCUCGCCCAGACCAGAUCACUCCCACCUGGACCAGAUCACUCCUGCCCAGACCAGGUCACUCUUGCAUGGACCAGAUCACUACCGCCUGGACCAGAUCAUUCCCACCCAGACCAGAUCACUCUGCCUGGACCAAAUCACUCCAGCCUGGACCAGAUCACUGUCGCCCAGACCAGAUCACUCCCACCUGGCUGCGGGGCUCGGCUCCCAGGAAUCUCCCCUCACUAGGAUGCACCAGGUCAGAUGGCCAGUUCUGGGGACCAGAGCAGACCGACCAAGAACACGUACUCACUCCCUGGGGUUUGUUUGUCCCACCAAGCAGCAGCCCCGGAGCCACAACACCUGGGAGACCCCAGCUCCCUCCUCCCCCACCCCCCUCGCCCCUUCUGUGUCUCUAGUAGUUACAGUCAUGCUGUGACCUGAAUCUGCAUCUGCGUGGAACUGGAGGGUACUGGACUGAGGUGGAGGAGGUGUUAGAGGGCAUCUGGCCCAAGCCCUCGCUGUAGACCUGGGGAGACUGAGGCCAGCGGAGCACAGCUUCAUGCACAGAGCCCUGUGCCGGCCCCACUUGGUACUGGAGAAGCAUGUGCGCGUGGGCUGCCACCAAAAAUAAGGGAAAAUGAUGAGGAUGACGACGACGACCAUAAGCAGGUACUUGUACUGGAGGGCCGAGCAACUUCUAGUGCUUUGCGCUGCGACUCCACAGCUGGCCAGGAUAGAUAGAUCUUGGCCUGGCCGGCUAGUCAGGGAGGCCCCAGGUGGCCUCGCGUGGGUGUUAACAAGUCGCCUGUGCCUUGGUGUCUUAUUCUCAUCUUUCCAGACUCCUGUUUGUACCCCCUUCCCCGCUGGCUCUGGGCAUCUGUAAGGCAUUUCUGCUCUGGAUCCUCACAUUCAGAGUGGAUGUCCUCAGUCCUGGAGCACAUGGAUCCCCUCUCAAGGAAGGACUUUGAUGGAUCCUUUUGCCAGAAGACCACCUCCCCACCACCUCCCCCAGGAGUGAGGCCACACCCAGAUAAUUUGGGGGUGUUGCUUCCCUUUGUGAGCAUGCCUCUUCCCACUCACAGGAGUGGGGCCUCACGUGGCACCUGUGUUGGUACCAUAACCCCCACCCCACCCCCAAAACAGUUGACAGUAUCAGGGAUGGACACCGAAACCAAGCAGAAUUCGGAAAUAAAGUUUGGGACAUGAUGACCA